AUUGGGCGUGUGUGUGUAUGUGACUGUGAAGCCCCACGUGUGUCUGCUAGUAGUUAAGAACUGUUUGACUGUCGCAGUCCUUGGGUGAGCCCCGUCGUUUCAAAGUUCUCCGUCCGACUGGACAUUUGGUUGUGAUCCAACAGCUCUACUGAUUCUCUCUCUCGUCUAUCUGUGUACAGCUAUUUCUUGAUAUCGACGCGUGUCUCGAUUGUAGUGUUGUGCAAAGUUUUGAUUUCGCCAUCUUGGAAUAUUUUUUUUUGGCGAAUUUUCAUUUCCCGCCAAAAGAAAAAAAAAGAGGAGACAUUUUAAGCUCGUGAGAGCGCCAUCUUUGUGCCGGUAAAAAGUUGUUUUGUUAUUGUCGGCCAUUGAAAUGCAGUCGGUUGGCAAAAGAAAGGGACCACGAUACAAAAAGGAAAUUGAUUUUGAUCUUCCCAGAGAAAUUUACCCUCCUACUUUAUAUUUCCUUUUUAACAUCUAGAUCUUUCUCUUGUUUUUUCUUCGCAAAAAAAGAAAGGAAUGGCCAUUUUCUGAUUUA